rnacentral:piRNA from 1 species
AUUACCAGCUUGCUGCAUAC